AGACGAGGACAAAAUGCAGCCGUCCUGCCUCCACAGCUCCAUGUCCAGCUUGCUGCAGGUGCGAACUUGAAGCGGCUUUGCACGGGCCUACUGCAGCCGAGCUAGAGGUGCAGGUUAGAGGAGCCGCUGCUUCCCGACGCAGCCGCGAGGGCAUCCGCCAGGACACGCUGCUGAAGCGCAACUGAGCAUUUAAGGCCGACCAAUAUGAAACGAGGUACGAGCUCCUGAACCUGCGGGUCACCCAUGGGAGGCAGAGGAAGGACAAAGCGAUGAAGACGAUUACAGAUCCUACCCACGCCAACAAUGGCCCGUCUGGAAACCAAAACCAAGAAACCGAGGAUGAGUUUCGAGCCUCUGGCUGUCCGUGAACUGAAUAAGACUCCCAGUGACUAACACCAAUUUUCACACUUUAUACCAUCCCACACUUUCAUUAUAUAUUAUUAUUUUACCCUGCUGAGGUGAAUUGGAGUUGCCAGAUUGUGUGUAGGUGUGAAUGUGAACGUGCCCUGUGAUCAGGUGCCACCUUGUCCUGGGUUUUUCCCUGCCUGGUGCCUGUAGCCUGUAGCUGUGGGCCCCUGUGAUCCUGUAUGGAACAACCGGGUAUUUAAUGUGGAUGGACGCUUUUUUAUUCUACAACUACUAAUA